rnacentral:rRNA from 1 species
GACGAACGCUGGCGGCGUGCUUAACACAUGCAAGUCGAGCGGUAAGGCUCCUUCGGGAGUACACGAGCGGCGAACGGGUGAGUAACACGUGAGCAACCUGCCCUUCUCAUCGGAAUAAGCGUUGGAAACGACGUCUAAUGCCGAAUAUGACAACGGAUCGCAUGAUCUGUCGUGGAAAGCUCCGGCGGAGAAGGAUGGGCUCGCGGCCUAUCAGCUUGUUGGUGGGGUAACGGCCCACCAAGGCGACGACGGGUAGCCGGCCUGAGAGGGUGACCGGCCACACUGGGACUGAGACACGGCCCAGACUCCUACGGGAGGCAGCAGUGGGGAAUAUUGGACAAUGGGCGCAAGCCUGAUCCAGCAACGCCGCGUGAGGGAUGACGGCCUUCGGGUUGUAAACCUCUUUCAGCAGGGACGAAGCGAAAGUGACGGUACCUGCAGAAGAAGGACCGACCAACUACGUGCCAGCCGCCGCAGUAAAAC